rnacentral:pre_miRNA from 1 species
GAUUUCAAAUGGAAAAGCCAUAAACAGCAAAGUUGUACAACUUAUCAAGAUCUACAACUUUUAUGUUGGUCACUUCUUUAUCCAACAAAGUGAUAGUACUAAUGUUUAUAAAAUUGACAUAUCUGUGUUGUGUUGAUGUUUAUAAACCAGAUGAGAGAAAUGUGAUUUUUUGAAUAAUAUAACUAUCACUUUGUCGGAUGAAGAAGCGACCAAAAUAAAAGUUGUAGAUCUUGAUAAGUUGUACAACUUUGCUGUUUAUGGCUUUUCCAUUUGAAAUC